rnacentral:rRNA from 1 species
CCCUUAGAUGUUCUGGGCCGCACGCGUGCUACACUGAGUGGAUCAGCGGGUCAGGUUGCGCGAAAGUGUUUCCUAAUCUUUAAAUCCGCUCGUGAUGGGGAUUGACGGUUGCAAUUUUCCGUCAUGAACGAGGAAUACCUUGUAAGCGCGGGUCAUCAUCCCGCGCUGAAUACGUCCCUGCCCUUUGUACACACCGCCCGUCGCUCCUACCGAUUGAGUGGUCCGGUGAGGCUUUGGGAUCUGAGCGGAAAGAGCGUUUCGCUGUUUCUGCCCGGAAAACUCAGUCGAACCUUAUCAUUUAGAGGAAGGGGAAGUCGUAACA